GAUGAACGCUGGCGGCGUGCCUAACACAUGCAAGUCGAGCGAUUCUYUUYGGAGAAGAGCGGCGGACGGGUGAGUAACGCGUGGGUAACCUGCCCUGUACACACGGAUAACAUACSGAAAGGUAUGMUAAUACGGGAUAAUAUAUAAGAGUCGCAUGACUUUUAUAUCAAAGAUUUUUCGGUACAGGAUGGACCCGCGUMUGAUUAGCUUGUUGGCGGGGUAMCGKCCCACCAAGGCGACGAUCAGUAGCCGACCUGAGAGGGUGAUCGGCCACAUUGGAAYUGAGACACGGUCCAAACUCCUACGGGAGGCAGCAGUGGGGAAUAUUGCACAAUGGGCGCAAGCCKGAUGCAGCAACGCCGSGUGAGCGAUGAAGGCCUUCGGGUSGUAAAGCUCUGUCCUCAAGGAAGAUAAWGACGGKACUGAGGAAAGACAUACCUGGGAAACG
rnacentral:rRNA from 1 species